AGUUGUUUGCCUUAUCAGGAAAUUCUUCUUGCCACGGGGGCAGCUUGGGACAGACAAAAAGCCCCAAGGGGAGCCCAGCAGAGAUGGUGAUGAAAAACUGAGCAGAAUGGUCUACCUUACCAGCUCCCAGUUCUUCCUUGGAGCUGAAUUCACCUCACCUCAUGGGAUGAUUAGGCUGGUUUGCCACUCAGGAGUUGCAACUACUCUCCUAGAAGAUACCUAGUGGAAGUGUAACUUGUCCUUCCCUGCUUGGCUGAUCUUCCAGGUGCGCCGAAAGCCAGUUUUCCCUGCAGCUCUCAUUCUCAGUUCCUGCAGCCCUGCAUGCUUACAAUAGACCCCUGGAAUCCUACAGACUGCUCUUGCACAGAAACCUCACCUCAACCUUGUAAACCCACAACAGUUCCUCAGUAAAGUGCCUUAGGUAUAAUGCUAUGGCUCAACAAGAACCUUGACAACCUAUUAUUACUUCUCUGGGUGUCAUCUGUGUUCUUUCUGAUUUUGUGUACAUAAGCUCAGGAUUUAGUCAUGCUCUCACAAAACAAACAACAACAAAAAAAGGCUGCUGUGUUUUUUGUAAGCUGUGUGAGUUUUGACUGAUGAAAAUUUGAGUUCUUUCUUGUUCAUCCUGAGGGCAUCAAAAAGCAGGCAGUGGGCCCUAUCUGUUCAUCUGCUACCGAGAGGUUUUUGUUUGCUUUGUUCCUUUAUCAAGACAUUGUGUCCUUGGGUACUUGUUUGCAAUAUAUAUCUGCUCUAUAAAAGAAACAUAUUUGCUAUAAAUCACUAUGUAAAUGAAGUAAUUAAAAAACCUAAUUCUCAUGAGGAAUCAUACAACGGUUCAAAUUGUUUGAAAUACUGAAAACAUCUUUUAAUUGUAGAAUUCUAUACAAACUUGGGUAGAUACAUAAAUGGCCACAACAAAAUGUGUUCUUAUUGCCUGAAAAUUUUCACAGAAAUACAAACAUAGAUGGCAAGCUUACUGACAUCCAACAGGAUGAGAUAUUUUUAAACUUGCAAAAUGAAUAGACACGACACUCCUAAGCAGUUUGUAUGUGUUUGACUGUCCUUGAAGAUCUUCUGCUUAUAUACCAACCUCAAUAUACAAAGAAGCAAGAUUAAAAUUUUUAAUGCACAUCACAUAAUAAUGUAAAAUUAAACACAAAAAAGGUGAACAAAUUGUAAUCCUGAAAAUACACUAUUUUUUUUACUGAGGGCAUUGACUCAUUCCAAGGAUGAUUUCCUGUAUAGUUAUGUUUUAAGUAAGACACACAUCUUUUUCUGCACAGGACAUCAAUAUCAGAUGGAGAUACAAGAAUAAAUGGUAGCAAACAUAAGGGAAAGAAAUGUAAUCACAAGUGGAACUCAAACUCCAUGCCAUUGUUGUUGCAGCCCUAAGCAAAGCUAUACAUAAAAAUAUGCUACAACCAUUAUUCUCAAAAAGUCCUUGGCACUUUUCCUCUGAUAAUCUUACUUUCUUUUUUUAAUGGAGCAAGUUACAUUUCUGCACCGAUGUCAUAAGGCAAAACUAUAAAAGCAAUUACAAGGACAA